AUUGAACGCUGGCGGCAGGCCUAACACAUGCAAGUCGAGCGGAUGAAGGGAGCUUGCUCCUGGAUUCAGCGGCGGACGGGUGAGUAAUGCCUAGGAAUCUGCCUGGUAGUGGGGGAUAACGUCCGGAAACGGGCGCUAAUACCGCAUACGUCCUGAGGGAGAAAGUGGGGGAUCUUCGGACCUCACGCUCUCAGAUGAGCCUAGGUCGGAUUAGCUAGUUGGUGGGGUAAAGGCCUACCAAGGCGACGAUCCGUAACUGGUCUGAGAGGAUGAUCAGUCACACUGGAACUGAGACACGGUCCAGACUCCUACGGGAGGCAGCAGUGGGGAAUAUUGGACAAUGGGCGAAAGCCUGAUCCAGCCAUGCCGCGUGUGUGAAGAAGGUCUUCGGGUUGUAAAGCACUUUAAGUUGGGAGGAAGGGCAGUAAGUUAAUACCUUGCUGUUUUGACGUUACCAACAGAAUAAGCACCGGCUAACUUCGUG
rnacentral:rRNA from 1 species